rnacentral:rRNA from 1 species
AUUGAACGCUGGCGGCAUGCCUUACACAUGCAAGUCGAACGGCAGCACGGGAGCUUGCUCCUGGUGGCGAGUGGCGAACGGGUGAGUAAUACAUCGGAACGUACCCUGAAGUGGGGGAUAACGUAGCGAAAGUUACGCUAAUACCGCAUAUUCUGUGAGCAGGAAAGAGGGGGGAUCGCAAGACCUCUUGCUUUAGGAGCGGCCGAUGUCGGAUUAGCUAGUUGGUGAGGUAAAGGCUCACCAAGGCGACGAUCCGUAGCGGGUCUGAGAGGAUGAUCCGCCACACUGGGACUGAGACACGGCCCAGACUCCUACGGGAGGCAGCAGUGGGGAAUUUUGGACAAUGGGCGCAAGCCUGAUCCAGCCAUGCCGCGUGAGUGAAGAAGGCCUCGGUGUAAGAGUCUUCGUGGUAGGAAGUAGA